CUAGCCGUAAACGAUGGAUACUAGGCGUUGUGAGUAUCGACCCUCACAGUGUCGUAGCUAACGCGUUAAGUAUCCCGCCUGGGGAGUACGCGCGCAAGCGUGAAACUCAAAGGAAUUGACGGGGGUCCGCACAAGCGGUGGAGUAUGUGGUUUAAUUCGAUGCAGCGCGAAGAACCUUACCAGGACUUGACAUGUCGCGAAUCUCAGGGAAACUUGAGAGUGCCUUCGGGAGCGCGAACACAGGUGGUGC
rnacentral:rRNA from 1 species